rnacentral:rRNA from 1 species
GUAGGUGGCAAGCGUUGUCCGGAAUUAUUGGGCGUAAAGCGCGCGCAGGCGGUUCUUUAAGUCUGAUGUGAAAGCCCACGGCUCAACCGUGGAGGGUCAUUGGAAACUGGAGAACUUGAGUACAGAAGAGGAAAGCGGAAUUCCACGUGUAGCGGUGAAAUGCGUAGAGAUGUGGAGGAACACCAGUGGCGAAGGCGGCUUUCUGGUCUGUAACUGACGCUGAGGCGCGAAAGCGUGGGGAGCAAACAGGGAUUAGAUACCCUGGUAGUCCACGCCGUAAACGAUGAGUGCUAAGUGUUAGGGGGGUUUUCCGCCCCCCUUAGUGCUGCAGCUAACGCAUUAAGCACUCCGCCUGGGGAGUACGGCCGCAAGGCUG